rnacentral:rRNA from 11 species
AUGACCUGUGGUUAGGGGUGAAAGGCCAAUCAAACUCGGCAAUAGCUGGUUCUCCGCGAAAGCUAUUUAGGUAGCGCGUCUAGUCUCACCUUCGGGGGUAGAGCACUGGAUGGGGAAGGGGGGAGCGAUCCUUACCGACUCUAACCAAACUCCGAAUACCGAAGAGUGCAAUCUAGGCAGACAGACGGCGGGUGCUAAGGUCCGUCGUCAAGAGGGAAACAGCCCUGACCACCAGCUAAGGUCCCUAAGUCACAGUUAAGUGGGAAAGGAUGUGAGGAGGCCAAGACAACCAGGACGUUGGCUUAGAAGCAGCCAUCGUUUAAAGAAAGCGUAAUAGCUCACUGGUCUAAAUAAGCCGCCUUGCGCCGAAGAUGUACCGGGGCUCAAACUGUGCACCGAAGCUGUGGAAACGAUCUUUGAUCGUUUGGUAGCGGAGCGUUCCGUAAGUCUGUGAAGGGUGACCUGUGAGGGCACCUGGAGAUAUCGGAAGUGCGAAUGCUGACAUGAGUAGCGUUAAAGGGGGUGAAAAGCCCCCUCGCCGAAAGCGCAAGGUUUCCUACGCAACGUUCAUCGGCGUAGGGUGAGUCGGCCCCUAAGGCGAGGCAGAGAUGCGUAGCUGAUGGGAAACAGGUCAAUAUUCCUGUACCGAUCAAUAGUGCGAUGUGGGGACGGAGAAGGUUAGCUCAGCCGGGUGUUGGAUGUCCCGGUUCAAGCCUGUAGUCGUGCCUGGUAGGCAAAUCCGCCGGGCUUAGAUGAGGGGUGAUAACGAGGAGGCUUGCCUCCGAAGUGAGUGAUACCCUGCUUCCAGGAAAAGCCACUAAGCUUCAGCUAUUGACGACCGUACCGCAAACCGACACUGGUGCGCGAGAUGAGUAUUCUAAGGCGCUUGAGAGAACUCUGGAGAAGGAACUCGGCAAAUUGACACCGUAACUUCGGAAGAAGGUGUGCCUUUAGUAGGUGUAGUUGUACAAACGAAGCCCAAUGAGGCCGCAGAGAAUCGGUGGCUGCAACUGUUUAUUAAAAACACAGCACUCUGCAAAGACGAAAGUCGACGUAUAGGGUGUGACUCCUGCCCGGUGCUGGAAGAUUAAAUGAUGGGGUGCAAGCUCUUGACUGAAGUCCCAGUAAACGGCGGCCGUAACUAUAACGGUCCUAAGGUAGCGA